rnacentral:rRNA from 1 species
GUCUACGGCCAUGCUAUCCUGAACAAGCUCCAUCCCAUCUGAUUUCAGAAGCUAAACAGGGUCAGGCCUGGUUAGUACUUUGAUGGAAGACCACCUAGGAAGACCAGGUGCUGUAGGCG